rnacentral:lncRNA from 1 species
GUUUCCGAGGCUCAAAAUAAUUUUGAGCAGGGAGGCUCAACAUUUUUUGCGGCAUUAAAUGUUUUGAAUUAACAUUACCUUUGACAGCCCUGCUUUGAAUAAAGGCUAAAUUAUUUUCAAGCAUCAACUACAGCAGCAGUGAUAAAAACAGAUACAUCUUCCCGAAAAUACUGCAACAUAUUAGUUAGUACAUUCUCUUGCAGCAUCAAGUAAAACACCAGUGUCAACACCACCAACAGUCUUCAAAGAGAGACCAGAGAAUGAGGGAGCAGAAGGAAUUCUGGGAUUUAACAGCACAGUAGCCUUGGUCCUCCUAAUUUUGUCACUGUCUGUCCUGAUUUUACUGUGGAGGUACUUGGGGAUCCUGAAACAAAGUAAGGGUCUUUAAAUAUCAAAUGGACAAUUGCACUGAUCAAACAUGGAUGUGAUUGAAUCCCUACCUUAAAAUUAUAAUGUUAAGAUAAGUAACCAGGUGAACAAAAGUGGUUUCAGUAUUUCCUUCUUUCUCUUACAGUGAUAAGUAAAUACCAUGGCUCAAGGUAUAGAAUGCACAUCAUAUGUAAAUGGUCAUGCUUCUUGAUUUAUCCUUGUAAUCAAUCGUGGUUAACAUAUUUUUAUUCUUUCUCUAGUGAGAUACAGGAUAUGGGUCAAACCUACAAUGUACUCUCUUCUGUACCAGUUGAUGAAACUACUGAGGUCUGUCUUGAUGUUGAGGAAGAAGCCUAUUCUAUGAUAGAUGAUUGGAGAGGUAUGGUGUCUCUUACAGUAUCAUUAUAUUAUUGA